GCAGGCGCACUAAGAGAGAAAAAACAAGAAAACAGUUAUGACAAUUAUAGGAAAUCCCCUCCCUAGAGUUAAGGAAGUGUAGGAAGUGGGUAUAAAAGAACAAAGGCUAUAUUAAUCCGGGGCUGACACCACUUGAAAAUCAGCCCGUUCCUCGCUCUGGAACAUUCUUUGCUUAAUAAAUUUUGUGGGGUGGUUAUUUGUGGUGUCUCAUCCAAUUCUUUGUUCAUAACACCAAGAACCUGGAACUCCCAACUUCCAAUCUGGUAACAUAUUUUGGUGAGCCAGCCAGAAGGGUCAAGCCUGCAAUACCUAAAGCUCCAGACCUAGAACCCAAAGCUCCCAUCAGUCUCUACUUUGUGAACCUGUGGAGGAUCUGAAGUACCUGUUUAAAAGGCAUCCAAAAGAUAAGUAAAUCCCUACUGACUUUGCUGGUGUCUUUGUUGCAUAGUUACUGUGGAGUAAGUAAUCCUAGUUAUUUAUAUAUAUUUAUCAUUUAACUGCUUGCUUCCCCCACAAUGGAACCACUUUUUAUGUCCAUAAUCCUAUUUUCACCAAUAUUGGGGGUCCAGCCUCAAUACCAAGUGUUUAAACAGAUUCAACAGUUAGCCACACUAACUAACUUAGCUUCCUGUUACAUUUGUACCUCAGGAUCACUAUCAGCUGAAGUUUUACCAUUACCAUUAGAAGAUAUAGUCAAGGUCAAUGCCAGAGUCACUGUUGCCACCCAGUCAGAAGUUACAUAUCCCAGUCCAGCUGUGGAAAGCUUAUUCCUAACACUGUUAUCUCAGAUCAUAAGAAAAAACCCAAAUUUAAAUUUUACAAAUGCCCCAAAUCCUGUAAGGGUUUUUCACAACCUAACCUCAGAGAGCCAAUUCCCAAUUUGUUUCACUUCCCACCAAACGAAUGGGACCUUUCUGGGAUCCCUAAACAAUUGUUUAUAUGAGGUUGUCCUCAGUUGGACAAAUCAAGAGAAACAUUAUAAUUCCUCAGAAACAAAAAUCAAUUCAUAUUGCAAACUAGGAAAACAAAACCAAUUCCUCCUCCUUAAGUAUCCUGAUCCAAGGUGACCUCAAUAUACAAGUAAUACCAAUUCUUCCAAUAUUUCCACUGGUUGGACCACAGUGUUAAUCAACAAUUCAUCUUUGCCUCUAGCUCAAGCUUUGGCUUGGGGGGUCCAAAGAUCAUUCUUAAAAUUCCACCCCGGCUUAUCUUUCCACUCUAGGCUUAAUGCACAACUUGCUGUGGCUGGAACACUUUUAUGGGAACAACUCACUGGAACUUCCUCUAGUGGCUCAGACGCACCUUUGGAACUAGCAUCAUGGGGAUAUGAAGUAUCUUUGGACCCUGGGCAAGGGUUGUAUUUCGUAUGUGGAAAUACAGGGUACAUGAGUCUUCUGAGCCAACGCAAAGGGACUUGCGGCAUUGCUGCUUUACUUCCAAGACUGUCUUAUGCAAAUGCUAGUACAAAAUUCCCGUUCCAUAUAAGACACAGCCAUGCAUUUGUAAAAAGGGCAGUUCCAGCAGUAUUACAUCCUUUAGCAACUGCAAUAACAGGACUUUUAGGAACCACACUUGGGUCCGUUUCUCUUCACUUGUCUUCACAACAAACACAGGCUUUGGCAGAAAUUACAGCAGCUAUCCAAGAACAAUGACAUAUAGAUUCCCGGGCAGGUAUUGUCUUACAAAACAGGAGGGGGCUAGGUCUCCUUGCAGCUAAUCGGAGGGGAUUAUGCAUUUUUCGAAAAGAAGAAUCUUGUUUCUAUAUUAACUCCUCAGGCAAAGUACUGGGACAUCUGACUGAGGCAACUAAUAUAACCAAAUUAAGAACUGCACAAAACACCCUAAAUUCUGUUUAAACAACUGCAAAAAGUUGGAUAGCCCAUUUUACAGGACCCUUAGCUGUAAUUCUUCUGUUGUUCAUUUUUGGUCCUUACACUGUAAAUUUGCUAACCAGAUUUAUUUCUUUCUGUUUAGAAUCUAUCAAGCUACAAAUGGCUAUAUUGGCUGAAGCCCCAGACAUCAUCCUACAAGAAAUAAGUCCAGACUUCUUAAUUUCCCCCUGGAUAGAGCAGGGUGAGAGUUCUGUGGUCCCGUUAGGUGGGGCCAACAGUCCCACUCAGCCGGAAGCAGCUAUAGAAGAAAGAACUUCAACCCUCAGCAACCUAUUAUGAUUUAUGGGGAUCACAUCUCUCAGAGGGAAUUGAGGCAGGAGAAUAGGGAAGGAAGUCAGAAAAUCAACUCACAGCCCGUUCUCACCAAAACAAGCAUAAGGCAGCAUCUGAUAAGGAAGCUGAAGCAAUGAACCAAUGCUUUCUGCAGUAAACAAAUCUGGUAUAACCUUUUAUUAUAAUAAGUUACUUAAAGCCCAUACAUAUGGAAUGCAUAUCAUACAUACGCUUACAAUUAUGGAAUGGCAAGCACACGCAGGUGCACUGAGAGAGAAAAACAACAAGAAAACUGAUAUGUCAAUUAUAGGCAACCUCCUCCCUAAAAGUUAAGCAAGAGUAGGAAGAGGGUAUAAAAGAACAAAGGCUAUGUUAACCCAGGGCUGAUACCACGCGCGAUCAGCCCAUUCCUCUCUCUGGAACAUUCUUUGCUUAAUAAAUUUUGUGGGGUCAUUA